rnacentral:rRNA from 1 species
AGCGAACGCUGGCGGCAGGCUUAACACAUGCAAGUCGAGCGGGCAUAGCAAUAUGUCCGCGGCAGACGGGUGAGUAACGCGUGGGAACGUACCUUUUGGUUCGGAACAACACAGGGAAACUUGUGCUAAUACCGGAUAAGCCCUUACGGGGAAAGAUUUAUCGCCGAAAGAUCGGCCCGCGUCUGAUUAGCUAGUUGGUGAGGUAAUGGCUCACCAAGGCGACGAUCAGUAGCUGGUCUGAGAGGAUGAUCAGCCACAUUGGGACUGAGACACGGCCCAAACUCCUACGGGAGGCAGCAGUGGGGAAUAUUGGACAAUGGGCGCAAGCCUGAUCCAGCCAUGCCGCGUGAGUGAUGAAGGCCCUAGGGUUGUAAAGCUCUUUUGUGCGGGAAGAUAAUGACGGUACCGAAAGAAUAAGCCCCGGCUAACUUCGUG